rnacentral:rRNA from 1 species
UAAUUGAAGAGUUUGAUCAUGGCUCAGAUUGAACGCUGGCGGCAGGCUUAACACAUGCAAGUCGAACGGUAACAGAAGAAAGCUUGCUUUCUUGCUGACGAGUGGCGGACGGGUGAGUAAUGCUUGGGAAUCUGCCUUGUGGAGGGGGAUAACUACGGGAAACUGUAGCUAAUACCGCGUAAUAUCGAAAGAUUAAAGUAUGGGAUCUUCGGACCAUAUACCACGAGAUGAGCCCAAGUGAGAUUAGGUAGUUGGUGAGGUAAAGGCUCACCAAGCUGACGAUCUCUAGCUGGUUUGAGAGGAUGACCAGCCACACUGGAACUGAGACACGGUCCAGACUCCUACGGGAGGCAGCAGUGGGGAAUAUUGCACAAUGGGGGAAACCCUGAUGCAGCCAUGCCGCGUGAAUGAAGAAGGCUUUCGGGUUGUAAAGUUCUUUCAGCGAUGAGGAAGGGUUUGUAUCUAAUAGGUGCAAACAUUGACGUUAGUCGCAGAAGAAGCACCGGCUAACUCCGUGCCAGCAGCCGCGGUAAUACGGAGGGUGCGAGCGUUAAUCGGAAUAACUGGGCGUAAAGGGCACGCAGGCGGUUGUCUAAGUCAGAUGUGAAAGCCCCGAGCUUAACUUGGGA